rnacentral:rRNA from 1 species
AUUGAACGCUGGCGGCAGGCCUAACACAUGCAAGUCGAACGAGUGGCGGACGGGUGAGUAAUGUCUGGGAAUCUGCCUGAUGGAGGGGGAUAACUACUGGACACGGUAGCUAAUACCGCAUACCAUCAGAUGUGCCCAGGUGGGAUUCGCUAGGUGGUGGGGUAACGGCUAACCAAGGGGACGAUCCCUAGCUGGUCUGAGAGGAUGACCAGGCACACUGGAACUGAUACACGGUCCAGACUCCUACGGGAGGCAGCAGUGGGGAAUAUUGCACAAUGGGCGAAAGCCUUAUGCAGCCAUGCCGCGUGUAUGAAGAAGGCCUUCGGGUUGUAAAGUACUUUCAGCGGGGAGGCGUUACCCGCAGAAGAAGCACCGGCUAACUCCGUGCCAGCCGCCGCGGUAAUUC